UUUAAGUGCAACCAUGAGUUUCCGUGUCCAUCUUUGAUUGUCCGUCUUAUUUAUUUUUUUUUAUAAUUAGUAUUUUUGUUGUUAUGAGAUGAUAAAACAUGAAUAGUACUUUAUGCAUGACUUAUGUUUUAAAAUUUUUUUAAAUAAGAUGGAUGAUUAAAGUUAAGCACGGAAAAGCAUGGCUGUAUUUAAA
rfam:Oryza barthii chromosome 10, whole genome shotgun sequence.